rnacentral:rRNA from 1 species
GACGAACGCUGGCGGCGUGCUUAACACAUGCAAGUCGAACGGAAAGGCCCUGCUUUUGUGGGGUGCUCGAGUGGCGAACGGGUGAGUAACACGUGAGUAACCUGCCCUUGACUUUGGGAUAACUUCAGGAAACUGGGGCUAAUACCGGAUAGGAGCUCCUGCUGCAUGGUGGGGGUUGGAAAGUUUCGGCGGUUGGGGAUGGACUCGCGGCUUAUCAGCUUGUUGGUGGGGUAGUGGCGUACCAAGGCUUUGACGGGUAGCCGGCCUGAGAGGGUGACCGGCCACAUUGGGACUGAGAUACGGCCCAGACGCCUACGUGAGGCAGCAGUGGGGAAUAUUGCACAAUGGGCGGAAGCCGGAUGCAGCAACGCCGCGUGCGGGAUGACGGCCUUCGGGUUGUAAACCGCGUUCGCCUGUGACGAAGCGUGAGUGACGGUAAUGGGUAAAGAAGCACCGGCUAACUACGUG